rnacentral:lncRNA from 1 species
GGAGCAGCAAAAGGAGCCUCUGAGGGUGGCGCGCUGGGAUUAAAUCCAACAACAUGUGCAGGCUUCAUCCAAAAAGUCCUUCUGAUUCUUGGAUAAGGAUUCAUGCAGGUGAGCUGGAAGGUGAGAGGAUAAGGAAGACUACUUUUUCUGCAUUGGUUUUGACUUCUUGAUGACCUUUCUGUGGAUGAACCAUAAAGAUACAAACAGAAACAGAUUAAAAAACCAGUGUGAUCAAGAGAAUGAAGAAAGGAAUCCCCAGGAUUAUAUAAACAGCCUGGAAAUCAACCACUUAGAGUGAAGCAGAUCAGAAGGCUGGGAAAUGAAGGUGGAAUUGAUAGAUUAUGUAAAGUGUCUGAAUAUACUGGGAGACUUAUACAACCAUGGGAAAAUUUGGAGAUAAACUGAGAUGAGUACAUAAAAAAAAAAAGAAAGAAAGAAAACAGGUAGAUUGAAAAAGAGACUUAGUUCCAGGGAUAGCAAAAAGUUUUGCAAGAAAUAAAAAUAACCAAAGUAUACCCUGUAGCUCAUGGCAGUGCUGUUGCUAGUAUAAUAAUGCUGAUUAAUGAUCCAACCAGAAUCACAACAGAGACACAUUGGGAGGAUGGGAGAGCGGAAGUGUGUGCAAGUGAGAGAGAGCCCAGUCCUCACUUCUCCUAGUGUGAAUUCAAUAGAUAAUGCCUAACACUAAAAAAAUCAAGGAGCCAGAGCACCACGGUAUUUAGACAUAUGGAGGAAAACAAAUACCAAAACAAUCAGUUACGAAAGUGGAAAGUGUUGCUGGGGAAUGGGAAAGGGGGUCCGGAGGAGUGCAAUUUUUUGUAACAAGCUUUGUAGAACUAUUAAUUAGUUAAUUUAAUAAGCCUUAUAUUAUGCUUUCCAUUAGUUAAUUCAAUCAGUUAAUUUAAUGUGCCUUAUAUAUUACUUUGCAUCACACACUGUUCUAAGUGCUUUCUUUACAAAUGUUAACCAAUUUAAUCCUCAUAACAACCUUAUGCUAUACGUAAUAUUAUCAUCCCCAUUCUACAGAUUAAAAAACUGAGAUGCAGAGCAGUUAAAUGAUUGAUCAAGCUUACACAGCUAGUAGGUUGUGGAGCUAGGAUUAAAACCCAGGUGGUCUGGCCCCAGAGUUGCCUCUCUAUUUGAUUCUUAAAGGAUGAAUAUGUAUUACUUUAAUUAAAAUAAAAACAAAAAUUUAACAAGUGUGAUUUUUAAGAGGCUUUAUUCCUAACUUUGAGUAUAGACAGACAAAGUUCUAAAAUGUAAUAAGUUAUUUUUUUCUAUAAGCAAUUAACUGGAGCAGAAUGCUAAACACACAUUAGGUAAUCAUUAAUUCCCUCAUCAAGAAUUUGCUGAAUCCCGGGAAUUCCCCCGUGGUCCGGUGCUUAGGACUCCGCACUCUCACUGCCAGGGGCCCAGGUUCAAUGCCUGGUCGGGGAACUAAGAUCCCGCAAGCUGCAUGACAUGGCCAAAAAAAAAGAAUUUGCUGAAUCCCUACUAUGUGCCAGCCACAGGAACAGGUGCAGAAGACUCAAUGCUUAAUGAUAAAAGGCCCUUGGGAGACUUACAGUACAGAGAGGGAGACAGACAACUCUAUGACUACAGUAGGACAUAUUUGGUGGAGUACAAAAUAGGCAGUCACUAGGGCAGUCUGGGGAGAUUUCCUGGAAGUGACAACAUCUGAGUGGGCUUUAAGGGUCAGAUAGGAUCUAGCCAGAUGAAAAAGUGGCCAAAGUAUGUUCAAGGAAGAGGAAAGAGCAGUGAAUACUUGUUAAAAUGAACUGAAUUGGUUGUUUCCUCUUCCAUUCUAAAUUCUAAAAUGGAUGUCAAAAAUAAUAGUAUUAAAAGCCCCUCUUAACCUGGAGAUUCCAUAGCCUAAACCAAUGGGGUGCAAACCAUGCUGCUAUACUCCAAUAUCAGUGACUGUUUCUCUAAUCAAAGGAAAAAAUGAAUUGAUAAAACUUUCUUCAUAUUAAGUUUACCUCUUUUUUAAUCUUUAUUUAUUUAUUAUUUAUUUAUUUUGGCUGCGCCGGGUCUUAGUUGUGGCAUGCGAACUUAUUACUUGCAGCAUGCAAACUUAUUAGUUGCAGCAUGCAAACCCUUAGUUGCGGCAUGCAUGUGGGAUCUAGUGCCCCGACCAGGGAUCAAACCCCAGCCCCCUGCACUGGGAGCGUGGAGUCUUACGCACUGGACCACCAGGGAAGUCCCAAGUUUACCUCUUAAGCCUUGUUAGGCUGUAGCCCAGGCCCUGGAGUCUGACUACUGGUUUCAAAUCCUGGCUCCACUGCUUACCAAAUGUGAGCACCUGAGCCAGUCACUAACCUCUCUAAGCCUCAGUUUCCUCAGUUGUAAAAUGAGGAUAACAACAUCCCAUAUCUCACAGAAGUGCUGUGAGAAUUAAAUAAUACACGUAUCAUGCUUAGGAGAGAAUAAGGACCUGGCAAACACAACUGUGUUGCGUACUCAAGGUGAUAAAAACAAAUGAGUAAGUAAAAGUUAUAAUUAAGAGAAAAGUUAGUUGUGAUUUCUUAACAUAUUAUGUGUUAUGUUAUUUUAAGAUAACUUGGCAGCUAUCUAAAGAUUCAUAUUUUAUCUUAGUCAAUAGUCCUUUAUUACCAAAAUAAUUUGGUAAUAUUUUUAUAGGCUUCUGCAAAGAGCACCAUGACUUCUAGUUGUCCUGUCCCCGAAAGACAGGAGAAUCAAGGCUCUGAACUCAGGGAAAUGCCGAGUAUGUCAGCAUCUGAUCCUUUACUCUUCAGUGCAAGUGCACUUGAAGCUGGCUUCGUCCUCUAUUCUAGCGCAGAAACUAUGCGAAACACCUGCUGGAUGCUUUCUCAAAAAUGGGUCUGCCCCAAACCUCCCAGUCCAGAAUGUUCCAAUGUAGUUCCUUGCACUGCUUUGGGCUCAGCAAGUUUUCAUGGUAUGGAAGGUCUGAGAGUUUUGAGGAGAAGUGCUGAACCCUGAUCUUCUGUGUGUGUGUCAGGGAAAGCUUCCUGGAGGAGUCAUUAUUUGCACUGACUUUGAAGAAGCAGGAGGAGCUGGCUGGGGAAGGAGGCCAGGGGUAGGAGGGGAAAUUUUCCUGCAGAGGAAGAAGCUUGUGCCAAGCAUGGCCUGGAGGCUGGAAGAACUUGGCCUCUUAAUGCAGCUGCAGGGGCUCAAUGUGGCUUGAAAGGUGUUUGGGAGUGGUGGGUGAAGACAGAGGAGAGAGGGGAGGUGGGCAGGGCCACCUCAUGAAGGCCUCGAGUCUAAGAGUUUGGAUUUUAUCCCUAGGAUCCUUAGGGGUUGAGAAGAAACUGCAGGUUUUAAGCAAAGGAGUAGCCUGAUGAGAUAUGGAUUUUUGAAAGAGACCCAUGGGGCCUUAACUCAAGUGAGUCUUAGUUGCCUCCUUUGAAAAACAAGAAAAAUAGGGGGACUUUCCUAUUUUUGGUUAAGAAUCUGCCUUCCAAUGCAGGGAACGUGGGUUCGACCCCUGGUCGGGGAACUAGGAUCCCACAUGCCACGGGGCAACUAAGCCCACGUGCCACAACUACUGACCCCGUGCACCACAACUACAGGGCCCACGCGCUCUGGAGCCCACCUGGACAACUAGAGAGCCCACGCGCCACAAUGAAAGAUCCCGUGUGCCACAACUAAGACCCCACACAGCCAAAUAUAAAUAAAUAUU